UACGAGGGGGGCAAGCGUUGUUCGGAAUUACUGGGCGUAAAGCGCGUGUAGGCGGUUGUUCAAGUCAGGUGUGAAAGCCUUGAGCCAUCAACAUACAAGAAUGCACUUGAUACUGGAUGACUAGAGGACCGGAGAGGAUAGUGGAAUUCCCAGUGUAGUGGUGAAAUACGUAGAGAUUGGGAAGAACACCAGUGGCGAAGGCGGCUAUCUGGACGGUUUCUGACGCUAAGACGCGAAAGCAUGGGGAGCAAACAGG
rnacentral:rRNA from 1 species